CCUACGGGUGGCAGCAGUGAGGAAUAUUGGUCAAUGGGCGGAAGCCUGAACCAGCCAAGUCGCGUGAGGGAAUAAGGCCCUACGGGUCGUAAACCUCUUUUGCCGGGGAGCAAGGGCCGGGACGAGUCCCGGUCCGGAGAGUACCCGGAGAAAAAGCAUCGGCUAACGCCGUGCCAGCAGCCGCGGUAAUACGGAGGAUGCGAGCGUUAUCCGGAUUGAUUGGGUUUAAAGGGUGCGUAGGCGGUCAUUUAAGUCCGCGGUAAAAAGUCGGGGCUCAACCCCGUCCGGCCGUUGAAACUGGGGGCCUUGAGUGGGCGAGAAGAAGGCGGAAUGCGUGGUGUAGCGGUGGAAUGCAUAGAUAUCACGCAGAACCCCGAGUGCGAAGGCAGCCUUCCGGCGCCCUACUGACGCUGAGGCACGAAAGUGCGGGGAUCGAACAGGAUUAGAUACCCCAGUAGUC
rnacentral:rRNA from 1 species